rnacentral:rRNA from 1 species
CCUACGGGUGGCAGCAGUGAGGAAUAUUGGUCAAUGGCCGAGAGGCUGAACCAGCCAAGUCGCGUGAGGGAAGACGGCCCUACGGGUUGUAAACCUCUUUUGUCGGGGAGCAAAGCGAGUCACGUGUGACUCAUUGAGAGUACCCGAAGAAAAAGCAUCGGCUAACUCCGUGCCAGCAGCCGCGGUAAUACGGAGGAUGCGAGCGUUAUCCGGAUUUAUUGGGUUUAAAGGGUGCGUAGGCGGACAGUCAAGUCAGCGGUAAAAAUGCGGUGCUCAACGCCGUACAGCCGUUGAAACUGGCAGUCUUGAGUGGGCGAGAAGUAUGCGGAAUGCGUGGUGUAGCGGUGAAAUGCAUAGAUAUCACGCAGAACUCCGAUUGCGAAGGCAGCAUACCGGCGCCCGACUGACGCUGAGGCACGAAAGCGUGGGUAUCGAACAGGAUUAGAUACCCCAGUAGUC